CACGAACGCUGGCGGCGUGCCUAAUACAUGCAAGUCGAGCGCAGGAAAUCGACGGAACCCUUCGGGGGGAAGUCGACGGAAUGAGCGGCGGACGGGUGAGUAACACGUAAAGAACCUGCCCUCAGGUCUGGGAUAACCACGAGAAAUCGGGGCUAAUACCGGAUGGGUCAUCGAACCGCAUGGUCCGAGGAUGAAAGGCGCUUCGGCGUCGCCUGGGGAUGGCUUUGCGGUGCAUUAGCUAGUUGGUGGGGUAAUGGCCCACCAAGGCGACGAGGCAUAGCCGACCUGGGAGGGUGAUCGGCCACACUGGGACUGAGACACGGCCCAGACUCCUACGGGAGGCAGCAGUAGGGAAUCUACCACAAUGGACGAAAGUCUGAUGGAGCAACGCCGCGUGAACGAUGAAGGCCUUCGGGUCGUAAAGUUCUGUUGUAAGGGAAGAACAAGUGCCGCAGGCAAUGGCGGCACCUUGACGGUACCUUGCGAGAAAGCCACGGCUAACUACGUGCCAGCAGCCGCGGUAACAC
rnacentral:rRNA from 1 species